UACGUAGGGGGCUAGCGUUGUCCGGAUUUAUUGGGCGUAAAGAGCGUGUAGGCGGCCAUGUAGGUCCGGUGUGAAAACUCGAGGCUUAACCUCGAGAUGUCAUCGGAAACCAUUUGGCUAGAGUCCGGAAGAGGAGAGUGGAAUUCCUGGUGUAGCGGUGAAAUGCGCAGAUAUCAGGAAGAACACCAACGGCGAAGGCAGCUCGCUGGGACGGUACUGACGCUGAGACGCGAAAGCGUGGGGAGCGAACAGG
rnacentral:rRNA from 1 species